rnacentral:rRNA from 1 species
GAUGAACGCUGGCGGCGUGCCUAAUACAUGCAAGUCGAGCGAACAGACGAGGCGCUUGCUCCUCUGACGUUAGCCGCGCACGGGUGUGUAACACGUGGAAACUCUCCUUAUCUGUCUGGGAACACUUCGGGACACCGGAGCUAAUACCGGAUAACAUGCUGAACCGUAUGGUUCAACAGUGAAAGACGGUCUUGCUGUCACUUCUAGCUGGAUCUGCGCCGCAUUAGCUAGUUGGUACGGUCCAGGCUUAUCAAGGCUACGAUGCGUAGCCGACCUGAGAGGGUGAUCGGCCACACUGGAGCUGAGACACGGUCCAUACUCCUACGAUAGGCAGCAGUAGGGAAUCUUCCGCAAUAGGCGAAAGCCUGACGGAGCAACGCCGCGUGAGUGAAGAAGGUCUUCGGAGCGUAAAACUCGGUUAUGAGGGAAGAACAAAUUUGGAAGGAACUAAGCACGGCGUGACGGUACCUAGUCAGAAAGCCACGGCUAACUACGUG